rnacentral:rRNA from 1 species
UACGUAGGUGGCGAACGUUGUCCGGAAUUAUUGGGCGUAAAGGGUGCGUAGAUGGCCUGUUAAGUUAGCAGUGGGAAAUCGAGGCUCAACCUCGUGGAAGCUGGUAAUACUGUCAGGCUCGAGUGCAGGAGAGGUUAACGGAACUCCAUGUGGAGCGGUAAAAUGUGUAGAUAUAUGGAAGAACACCGCUAACGGCGAAGGCAGUUAACUGGUCUGUUACUGACGUUGAGGCACGAAAGCGUGGGGAGCAAACCGG